rnacentral:rRNA from 1 species
AGAGUUUGAUCAUGGCUCAGAACGAACGCUGGCGGCGUGCCUAACACAUGCAAGUCGAACGAGAAAGUCCUUCGGGAUGAGUAGAGUGGCGCACGGGUGAGUAACGCGUGGAUAAUCUGCCCUGGUAUCUGGGAUAACAUUCCGAAAGGGGUGCUAAUACCGGAUAAGCCCACGGGAUCCUUGGAUCUUGCGGGAAAAGGAGGCCUCUAUUUAUAAGCUUCUGUACCAGGAUGAGUCCGCGUCCCAUUAGCUAGUUGGCGGGGUAAUGGCCCACCAAGGCGACGAUGGGUAGCUGGUCUGAGAGGAUGAUCAGCCACACUGGAACUGAAACACGGACCAGACUCCUACGGGAGGCAGCAGUGAGGAAUAUUGGACAAUGGGCGCAAGCCUGAUCCAGCGACGCCGCGUGAGUGAUGAAGGCCUUUGGGUCGUAAAGCUCUGUCAGCAGGGAAGAACGGCCGUGCGGUUAAUACCCGUGCGGAUUGACGGUACCUGCAGAGGAAGCACCGGCUAACUCCGUGCCAGCCGCCGCGGUAAUACA